rnacentral:rRNA from 1 species
GACGAAGGGGGCUAGCGUUGCUCGGAAUCACUGGGCGUAAAGGGCGCGUAGGCGGCGUUUUAAGUCGGGGGUGAAAGCCUGUGGCUCAACCACAGAAUGGCCUUCGAUACUGGGACGCUUGAGUAUGGUAGAGGUUGGUGGAACUGCGAGUGUAGAGGUGAAAUUCGUAGAUAUUCGCAAGAACACCGGUGGCGAAGGCGGCCAACUGGACCAUUACUGACGCUGAGGCGCGAAAGCGUGGGGAGCAAACAGG